UGAUCCUGGCUCAGAUUGAACGCUGGCGGCAGGCCUAACACAUGCAAGUCGAGCGGUAGCGGGAAGAGCUUGCUCUUUGCCGACGAGCGGCGGACGGGUGCGUAACACGUAGGAAUCUGCCCGGUAGUGGGGGAUAGCCCGGAGAAAUCCGGAUUAAUACCGCAUACGCCCUAAGGGGGAAAGCAGGGGAUCUUCGGACCUUGCGCUAUCGGAUGAGCCUGCGUCGGAUUAGCUUGUUGGUGGGGUAAAGGCCUACCAAGGCGACGAUCCGUAGCUGGUCUGAGAGGAUGAUCAGCCACACUGGGACUGAGACACGGCCCAGACUCCUACGGGAGGCAGCA
rnacentral:rRNA from 1 species